GACGAACGCUGGCGGCGUGGAUUAGGCAUGCAAGUCGAACGGUAUCAUCCUUUCGGGGGUGAGAGAGUGGCGAACUGGUGAGUAACACGUAGGUUAUCUACCCUCAAGACGGGGACAACCCAGGGAAACUUGGGCUAAUACCGGAUGUGAGCAACUUUUAGUUGUUUGAAAGGUGGCGUAAGCUGUCGCUUGGGGAUGAGCCUGCGUCCUAUUAGUUAGUUGGUGAGGUAACGGCUCACCUAGGCAAUGAUAGGUAGGCGGCCUUAACGGGUGGUCGCCCACACUGGGAUUGAGAUACGGCCCAGACUCCUACGGGAGGCAGCAGUCGAGAAUAGUCUACAAUGGUCGGAAGACUGAUAGUGCGACGCCGCGUGAACGAUGAAUCCCUUCGGGGUGUAAAGUUCUUUUAUAUGUGAGCAGUGCUUCUUAUAUUAACAGUAUGGGGAGAGAGAUAUUAGCAUAUGAAUAAGCAACGGCUAACUCCGUGCCAGCAGCCGCGGUAAACAUAC
rnacentral:rRNA from 1 species